GGAAAUCAUAGUUCAAGUGGAUCCCCUGUUCUGAAGACAGUUGUCCCUGGAUCCGAUCUCUAGAUCCAUACUUGCACUGGAGUACGAACAACUUAGUUUGUAUUUUUAAAUUAUUCACAACCUCUACUGAAAAUAAUUAAACUAGAAUUAUGGAAAGGCUAGACUUACCUGUCUAUCUGGAUCCAUAACAAUCAUCACCCGUACAUGUAUCCAUACUUGGACACCCACACCAGAGUUCCUACAAGGAUUCGUACACCCAAAUCUUAAAAUUUAGGUCAUUAAGGAUCUGAUCUCUACAUCUGCAUCUGUAUCAAACACAUGUCAUGUUGUAUCCAUAACAACCACCACCGUUACCUGCAUCCGUGCUAG
rnacentral:misc_RNA from 1 species